rnacentral:lncRNA from 1 species
AUAGAGAUAGCAAGCAACUGAGUUUUCCAUGGACAUAGGCCAGAGGAUAUGACAAAACUUGAUCUCAUGCUGAGGAAAGGUUAUGUGAAGAAAAAAAAAAAAUAUUUUGCAUAUCGCUGCCAUCAGUUUUAUGACUAUUUAUGGCAGAAAUGUUUAUGUGCCAAUUGA